GACAGAGGAUGCAAGCGUUAUCCAGAAUCAUUGGGCGUAAAGGGUGCGUAGGUGGCGCUGUAAGUCAGGUGUGAAAUUUCGGAGCUUAACUCCGAAACUGCAUUUGAUACUGCGGUGCUUGAGGACUGGAGAGGAGACUGGAAUUUACGGUGUAGCAGUGAAAUGCGUAGAGAUCGUAAGGAAGACCAGUGGCGAAGGCGGGUCUCUGGACAGUUCCUGACACUGAGGCACGAAGGCCAGGGGAGCAAACGGG
rnacentral:rRNA from 1 species